rnacentral:lncRNA from 1 species
AGCAGCUCCGGCUCACUCUAGCAGGGAGCUUUGGGCCUUCCAUGGGGACGGCACGUUCCCUGGUGACCUACAACUUGAUGUAUUGGCCCUGGAGGGUGGACUCAGUCACAGUUAGCCCCAGAGGGUUACUACAGUCUGAGCAUACUGGCCUUCACCUCGCUUCUGUGUCCUUCGGUGGCAAAUCACCUUUCCGGGGACAUCUGCUGAAUGUAGUACCCACAUGUCUGGGGAAAUAUGAGGGUGUGCUCAGCACAUGCUGCCAACCCGGCUUAUCCAGAUGUCAGUUAUUCUAGGGGAGCUGGGACAGUGUCCAGCAGCUUGUCCACAUUCAUCCUCCUGUUCUCAGCUUUUGCAUUUCCAUUAUAACCUUCGGGGAAGUGAGUGUUUUCACCGGGUGUGUCCAGUCCUUCGUAACCUUUGCCGUUUAGUAUGGAACAUCACCUUUCUCAGGCUCUCGCUGACGUGUUCCUGUUAGCCUGUUCAUGACUGGGCACUGGGGGUCUGGCACCCUUCAAUCUCAUGGAUGGAUAGUGUGCUGCUGUUUGGAGAUCGGUUCUUGCCGUUUGGAGCUGGGUUCAGCCUCCUCAUUUUAGAGAUAAAUUAAAGGGCAUUUGGUUGUCUGGCAGGGGUUGGAGCAAAUGCCAGCCUAAAUAUGGUUAACUGUUGCAUAGAAAGUGACUCUUGGGCUACACUCUUGCCAGCAGGACCAUCAUUCACUAAAAGUGCUCAGAGCUUGUCCAAGGACAGUAGGGAGUGGUUAGAUCACCCCUGGAUUUCUUACCCCAAAUUUUUUGGGCAUAUAAUUUUUUUUGAACCCUGCCACAAUGUCAGAAUUGGAAACUGUGACGCAACGCCCCAGGAAGACUGUGCUCCAGCCUUGAGGGCUACUUCUCCUGGGCUCCUUGCCUGCCCCCUGUAUCGGGUUGUGACGUGUGAUCUUUGCUCUGGGGACUCCUCGCCUGAUACUGCAUGCUUGUGAGCAGAGAGUUCUGCCCAUUCGUGCUACUCCCAUGCUCAGCACUCGCAGACUCUCUUGCCUGUGAGUGCCUGUGCAAGUCAUGUUUAUACAAACGCCGGGCUGUGCAGCGGCCAUGAGCAUCCUUGUGCGGGGAUGAGGUGGUGCCCCGUGUGUCGUCACUGUCUGCAUUCGAGGUCACUUUGUCCACCCAGAGUGCCUCCAGCUUUCCUUCCUUGCUCACUUGCUUUCCAGACCAGCUCUCUGAAGUUCAUUUUUAAUUUUACCCUACCUGUCCACAAAGCUCCUAUAAAAGUCAAAUCUGGCAAAGGACCAUGGCCUUAAACCUCUCUAAAAUGUCCACAGAGGAAUUCUUAAGAAAGAAUGGUUCCGUAGCUUCUGGGGAUGGGGGAUGGGAUCUGGGAAAUGAGUGUCCAAGAUGAAUCGUGUAGAAGGCUUCUCACAACCAGGCCUCCCUCCUGUCCUAAGGGACAACACUGUCCCUCAGUACCAG